GACAGAUCACUGGCGUUACCACCUUUACAUGCUAAAUAUUUGCUACACUUGACUUUGGAAAAGUACAACUAGAUGUUCACUCUCUGCCAACUUCACACGGAGCAGAGCUGCUACAGGCAAUUUAGGGUCAAGAGUCUCUCCCAAGGACAUGCGGCAUGCAGACUGGCAUCAAACUGGCGACUGUCGUGUUGGUGGACACCUGACUCUACCUCCUGAGCCAUAGCCGCCAUCAGUGGUACAGACCCAAUGAUACCAAACCUGGCAACUUCACCAUGUUCUUCCUCCAACAGACAAGUGGAUCAAACCAGUGGGAUGUAGUGUUAAUCAGUCAGAGGUGUGGCAUGUGUAUUGUUUGGCCAACUAGGCUAACUCCGACCCAGCUCAUUUCCCAAAAUGCCACCUGUUCUUCUGAGGCCGUUUCAUGUAACGUCAGUGACAACCUGACUUCAACUCACUGCUGAAGGGACGGGGUUCAAGCCUGAAUGAGUCUCCAGGACGGCUCUCUCCGAACAGAGAAGAGCUAACCAGGCGGGGUGAGAACAUCUCGAUCAGCGUUUUACACAGUGAUGAUGUGGCAUCAGGAGCACACAGGAGUUCAGUGUCUUGCUCAAAGGCACUUCAACAACCCCCCCGGAGAAGCCAGGAAUCAAACCAGGAACAUUGAGAUUACACGACACCCGCUCUACCUCCUGGGCCGUGCCGCCCUGGGGCAGGGCAUGAGGCAGGGCUACUCUGGAGACUGAGAAGGAUCCUGAGCUUAGGGCGCACACUCCAUGAGCAGCAGCCUACUCUCUCAACCCGUAUCCUGUCUCCUUCAUCAUGUCUAUCAAAACAAAGAAUUAU